AUUGAACGCUGGCGGCAGGCCUAACACAUGCAAGUCGAGCGAGCGGCGGACGGGUGAGUAAUGUAUGGGGAUCUGCCCGAUAGAGGGGGAUAACUACUGGAAACGGUGGCUAAUACCGCAUACCAUCAGAUGAACCCAUAUGGGAUUAGCUUGUAGGUGAGGUAACGGCUCACCUAGGCGACGAUCCCUAGCUGGUCUGAGAGGAUGAUCAGCCACACUGGGACUGAGACACGGCCCAGACUCCUACGGGAGGCAGCAGUGGGGAAUAUUGCGCAAUGGGGGCAACCCUGACGCAGCCAUGCCGCGUGUAUGAAGAAGGCCUUCGGGUUGUAAAGUACUUUCAGCGAGGAGGCGUUACUCGCAGAAGAAGCACCGGCUAACUCCGUGCCAGCAGCCGCGGUAAUAC
rnacentral:rRNA from 1 species